GGUAGAGCAUGAACUAUGCCUGAGCAGGGCAAAGUCAGAGGAAACUCUGGUGCAGGUCCAUAGCAGUCUUGACAUGCAAAUCGGUCCUCCUACCUGGGUAUAGGGGUGAAAGACUAAUUGAACCAUCUAGUAGCU
rnacentral:ncRNA from 1 species